CUAUAAUUUACCUUCAUCAGGUUUAUGGGAAUUUUAAAUGGCAUUGGUGUCUCUGCAAGCCAUAAUGUAAAUUAACAAAGCAUACCACCUUCCCAACGCUAGGAUGCUCUAUGUCAAAUGAACAGUAUGCAUUGCUCAAAGUGAGAGCUGUAUAUAUAGUUAUUUAAAGCUCUUUAAGGGGACACUAUUGUGAGGGAACACCCAGUCAAUUGUGUCC